GCGUCGGUGGCGGAGUGGUCAAUCGCAAUUGGCUGUAAACCAAUCGCCCUUGCGGCUACGUAGGUUCGAAUCCUACCCGGCGCACCA
rnacentral:tRNA from 1 species